CCUACGGGAUGCACCAGUGGGGAAUAUUGGACAAUGGGCGAAAGCCUGAUCCAGCAAUGCCGCGUGUGUGAAGAAGGUCUUCGGAUUGUAAAGCACUUUCGACGGGGACGAUGAUAACGGUACCCGUAGAAGAAGCCCCGGCUAACUUCGUGCCAGCAGCCGCGGUAAUACGAAGGGGGCUAGCGUUGCUCGGAAUGACUGGGCGUAAAGGGCGCGUAGGCGGUUUAUGCAGUCAGAUGUGAAAUCCCCGGGCUUAACCUGGGAACUGCAUUUGAGACGCAUAGACUAGAGGUCGAGAGAGGGUUGUGGAAUUCCCAGUGUAGAGGUGAAAUUCGUAGAUAUUGGGAAGAACACCGGUGGCGAAGGCGGCAACCUGGCUCGAUACUGACGCUGAGGCGCGAAAGCGUGGGGAGCAAACAGGAUUAGAUACCCGUGUAGUC
rnacentral:rRNA from 1 species